CCUACGGGAGGCAGCAGUGGGGAAUAUUGCACAAUGGGGGAAACCCUGAUGCAGCGACGCCCCGUGAGUGAAGAAGUUUUUCGGUAUGUAAAGCUCUAUCAGCAGGGAAGAAAAUGACGGUACCUGAUUAAGAAGCCCCGGCUAACUACGUGCCAGCAGCCGCGGUAAUACGUAGGGGGCAAGCGUUAUCCGGAUUUACUGGGUGUAAGGGGAGCGUAGACGGCAGCACAAGUCUGAAGUGAAAUGCCGGGGCUUAACCCCGGAACUGCUUUGGAAACUGUGCAGCUAGAGUGCAGGAGAGGUAAGUGGAAUUCCUAGUGUAGCGGUGAAAUGCGUAGAUAUUAGGAGGAACACCAGUGGCGAAGGCGGCUUACUGGACUGUAACUGACGUUGAGGCUCGAAAGCGUGGGGAGCAAACAGGAUUAGAUACCCCAGUAGUC
rnacentral:rRNA from 1 species